rnacentral:lncRNA from 1 species
ACCCUUGUGGAAGGACUUUUUCUACACUGGAAAUCUAGGAGUGGAAUAGCCGGGCCCCGGAGACACAGGAACACACUAGAAAUCUAGGAGUGGAAUAUUUGGGCCCCGGAGCCACAGGAAUGCGCUGGAAAUCUAGGAGUGGAAUAGCCGGGCCCCGGAGCCACAGGAACACACUGGAAAUCUAGGAGUGGAAUAGCUGGGCCCCGGAGCCACGGGAACGCACUGGAAAUCUAGGAGUGGAAUAGCUGGGCCCCGGAGCCACGGGAACGCACUGGAAAUCUAGGAGUGGAAUAUUUGGGCCCCGGAGCCACGGGAACGCACUGGAAAUCUAGGAGUGGAAUAUUUGGGCCCUGGAGCCACGGGAAUGCACUGGAAAUCUAGGAGUGGAAUAUUUGGGCCCCGGAGCCACGGGAACCCACUGGAAAUCUAGGAGUGGAAUAGCCAGGCCCUGGAGCCACGGGAACACACUGGAAAUCUAGGAGUGGAAUAGCCGGGCCCCGGAGCCACGGGAACGCUCUGGAAAUCUAGGAGUGGAAUAUUUGGGCCCCGGAGCCACGGGAACGCACUGGAAAUCUAGGAGUGGAAUAUUUGGGCCCCGGAGCCACGGGAACGCACUGGAAAUCUAGGAGUGGAAUAUUUGGGCCCCGGAGCCACGGGAACGCACUGGAAAUCUAGGAGUGGAAUAGCCGGGCCCCGGAGCCACGGGAACGCACUGGAAAUCUAGGAGUGGAAUAGCUGGGCCCCGGAGCCACGGGAACGCAAUGGAAAUCUAGGAGUGGAAUAGCUGGGCCCCGGAGCCACGGGAACGCACUGGAAAUCUAGGAGUGGAAUAGCUGGGCCCCGGAGCCACGGGAACGCACUGGAAAUCUAGGAGUGGAAUAGCUGGGCCCCGGAGCCACGGGAACGCACUGGAAAUCUAGGAGUGGAAUAGCUGGGCCCCGGAGCCACGGGAACGCACUGGAAAUCUAGGAGUGGAAUAGCUGGGCCCCGGAGCCACGGGAAUGCACUGGAAAUCUAGGAGUGGAAUAUUUGGGCCCCGGAGCCAUGGGAACACACUGGAAAUCUAGGAGUGGAAUAGCCGGGCCCUGGAGCCACGGGAAUGCACUGGAAAUCUAGGAGUGGAAUAGCCGGGCCCCGGAGCCACAGGAACGCACUGGAAAUCUAGGAGUGGAAUAUUUGGGCCCUGGAGCCACAGGAACGCACUGGAAAUCUAGGAGUGGAAUAUUUGGGUCCCGGAGACACAGGAACACACUGGAAAUCUAGGAGUGGAAUAGCUGGGCCCCGGAGCCACGGGAACGCACUGGAAAUCUAGGAGUGGAAUAUUUGGGCCCCGGAGCCACGGGAACGCACUGGAAAUCUAGGAGUGGAAUAGCCAGGCCCCGGAGCCACGGGAACGCACUUGAAAUCUAGGAGUGGAAUAGCUGGGCCCCGGAGCCACGGGAACCCACUGGAAAUCUAGGAGUGGAAUAGCUGGGCCCCGGAGCCACGGGAAUGCACUUGAAAUCUAGGAGUGGAAUAGCCGGGCCCUGGAGCCACAGAAAUGCACUUCUCCAACUUCAGACGCAGCCACGUUGUCUCCCAGUCGUUGCAGGAAUCCCACUCCCAUGAGUGUGGAACAGUUCCCUUAACCCUCUCCAGGUUUCUAUUUUGUUCAUAAACUUACUUAUUAGUCCAAAUUCUCCAGAAAAACAGAACCAAUGGGAGGUAGAGAGAUAUAAGAGCAGAUGGAUUAUGAACAUUGGCUCCUGUAACUAUAGAAGCUGAAGAGUCCCAUGAUCUGCUGUCUGCAAGCCGGAAAGAUUCUGGUGUUGCUGAGUCUGAAUCUGAGGCCUGAAGGCUGGUGAGCUGCUGGUGUUGACUGAGGAGUCCAAGACCAGAGAACCUAGAGCUCCAGUGUCCGAGGGCAGGAAAGGAUGGAUGUUCCAGCCCACGGAGAGAGAGGGAGGGAGGGAGGGAGAGAGAGAAUGUGUAUUUCUUUUCCCUGGUAAAGUUGAGUAUCCUGUACUCAGUUUACUGAUUCAAACAUUAAUUUCAUCCAAAAGGAUCCUCACAGAGACAUCCAUAAUAACAUCUGAGCAUCCCUCAGCCUAGUCAAGUCAACACGUAAGAUUAGCCAUCAUAAUUAUGUUGCUUUACAAGUACUGACAUAACGAAUUGUGAUAUCUUGUAGCAUAAUUUUCAUCAUCUUUUUUCUUCUUUCUUUUGUGCCUGUAUUUUUGUGACUACUUUAUGACCUUUGUUCUUUAUUAUAAGGCCUAGACAAUCUUGCCAUAUUUUGUAAAAAAAAUCCUGCUGAGAUUAUAAUGUGAAGGGCAUGAAAUCUAUAAAUUAUUUGCAGAGUUUUGAGAUCUUCACAAUAUUGAAUCUUUUUAUCCAUGAACAUGGUAAAUAUUUCCAUUUACUUAUGUUUUUAAUAUGCCUCAAAAAUUUGUAAUUUUCUCUAUUUGUAUCUCAUGAACAUUUUGUUAGUUACUUUCUAUUUUUGUGGGGUUUUUUUCUGUUACAUGUAAUGUUUCUAAGUCUUGAGUUAUUCUUUUUGAUGGUGCAAGGGAGUAUAAUGGAAUUUUAACUGUGAUUGAUAACUAUUUUAAUUUUUCCUAUUAACCUAUUUAGAAUAGUGCCUGCUCUAUAUUGAAUACUACAUAAAUGUUUGUUAAAAAAGUAAGGAAAGCUGCUCGUUCUCUAAGUUAACUCUCGGGUAGCUCGGGAAUGAUUACAACAUCCUCUCUUCCUAUCCUGCACUUUGUGUUCCCCGCUCAGUGCUAACAUGCACCUCCAGCAUAACACUGAAUAGAAGCUGGGGUCAUGAGCUUCCUUGGUUUCAUCUGAAGUCUUCUGGGGAAUGUUGCUUCCGUGUCACUCGUUGUGAAGGAGAUACUAUCAUAUCCUUUAACAGCCCUGGUGAUGUUCGCUGCUCUGCACAGCACACGGUGACUACAUCCCAGAUCCAGAGCUGCGGAACUCUGGGGCCACGUCUCCAGCGCCGCAUUCGGCGGCACACGGAGGCCUGAGAAGGCGGGAGGGGUCAGUCUCUGGCUUCGAGUAGCAGCAAUACCAGGACAACCAUAGCUGAGUCAUGUCAAGAUGAACCAUAUGGCAUUACCAUUUUUUCACAGCUAUAUUCAGAUGUGUCAAUGAUGAGGAUUUCCCCAGUUAUCUAGGUGGGUUGAAACAGAAGCAGGUGCUUCAGGCAGUGCCUCAGGAAGCUGGUCACUCACGCUGCUGCCUUUUUGCCUCAUGAGGAAACUCACAGGCCAAGGAACUUCCUCCCGGUACUGAGCUGUGCCAGCCUGGGGAUGGGGUGAUGCAGGCAAAAUUACACUGGUCCCCCUACCCUUUCUGUGAAGUUAUUCUCUCUCUCCUCUCUCUCUGUCUCUGUCUCUCUGUCUCUCUCUCUCUCUCUCUCUCUCGUUCCACUGUGGUGCUGCAACUUCUUGACUUCUGAACGUUCCCAGGGUUAUGUUAGCUUGUGAAUAGCUAAUUGUUGUUUUCUGUUUGGAGGUGCAAAUGAUAGGGUCUUCUACUCUGCCAUCUUUCUGAUGUCAGCUUCUGCUCUUUUUAUUGUUAACCUUAAUAAAAUCAGUUUCUAGUAAAUGCUUGUGUUCAUUUCUGGAAUGAUGCAUCUGCCUGUUUAUGCCACUACACCAUACCUGUAAAAUUAUUCUCUUUAAAACAUAUUAUAAUAUCAAAAACAGAUAAGCCAAAACUUUAUUAUAAUUUUUUGACGUUGUUUUCCAUAGC